CCUACGGGAGGCAGCAGUCGGGAAUAUUGCGCAAUGGACGAGACUCUGACGCAGUGACGCCGCGUGAAGGAAGAAGGUCCUCGGAUUGUAAACUGCUUUAGACAGGGAAGUAAAAAGACAGUAGCGGUAGAAUAAGCUUCUGCUAACUACGUGCCAACAGCCGCGGUAAUAGGCAGGGAGCAAGCGUUAUCCGGAGUUAUGGGGUUUAAAGGGUGCGUAGGCGGAGAAGCAAGUUAGUUGUGAAAGCCCGCGGCUUAACUGAGGAACUGCAACUAAAACUACUUCCCUUGAGUACUGGAGAGGAGAGUGGAAUUCCUAGUGUAGCGGUGAAAUGCGUAGAUAUUAGGAAGAACAGCAGUGGCGAAGGCGACUUUCUGGACAGUAACUGACGUUGAGGCACGAAAGUGUGGGGAGCAAACAGGAUUAGAUACCCUGGUAGUC
rnacentral:rRNA from 1 species